AGCGAACGCUGGCGGCAGGCUUAACACAUGCAAGUCGAGCGGGCACUUCGGUGUCAGCGGCAGACGGGUGAGUAACACGUGGGAACGUACCCUUUGGUUCGGAAUAACGCUGGGAAACUAGCGCUAAUGCCGGAUACGCCCUUUUGGGGAAAGGCUUGCUGCCGAAGGAUCGGCCCGCGUCUGAUUAGCUAGUUGGUGGGGUAAUGGCCUACCAAGGCGACGAUCAGUAGCUGGUCUGAGAGGAUGAUCAGCCACACUGGGACUGAGACACGGCCCAGACUCCUACGGGAGGCAGCAGUGGGGAAUAUUGGACAAUGGGCGCAAGCCUGAUCCAGCCAUGCCGCGUGAGUGAUGAAGGCCUUAGGGUUGUAAAGCUCUUUUGUCCGGGACGAUAAUGACGGUACCGGAAGAAUAAGCCCCGGCUAACUUCGUG
rnacentral:rRNA from 1 species